rnacentral:rRNA from 1 species
GACGAACGCUGGCGGCGUGCUUAACACAUGCAAGUCGAACGGAAAGGCCCUGCUUUUGUGGGGUGCUCGAGUGGCGAACGGGUGAGUAACACGUGAGUAACCUGCCCUUGACUUUGGGAUAACUUCAGGAAACUGGGGCUAAUACCGGAUAGGAGCUCCUGCUGCAUGGUGGGGGUUGGAAAGUUUCGGAGGUUGGGGAUGGACUCGCGGCUUAUCAGCUUGUUGGUGGGGUAGUGGCUUACCAAGGCUUUGACGGGUAGCCGGCCUGAGAGGGUGACCGGCCACAUUGGGACUGAGAUACGGCCCAGACUCAUACGGGAGGCAGCAGUGGGGAAGAUUGCACAAUGGGCGGAAGCCUGAUGCAGCAACGCCGCGUGCGGGAUGACGGCCUUCGGGUUGUAAACCGCUUUCGCCUGUGACGAAGCGUGAGUGACGGUAAUGGGUAAAGAAGCACCGGCUAACUACGUG